UCUGAGCUGUUCUGUCCAGAAGUUUGGCACGGAGAAGGCGAUGACACCCGACUCCAGUACUCUUGCCUGGAAAAUCCCAUGGAUGGAGGAGCCUGGUGGGCUGCAGUCCAUGGGGUUGUGAAGAGUCGGACACGACUGAGCGACUUCACUUUCACUUUUCACUUUCCUGCAUUGGAGAAGGAAAUGACAACCCACCCCAGUGUUCUUGCCUGGAGAAUCCCAGGGACGGGGGAGCCUGGUGGGCUGCCAUCUGUGGGGUUGCACAGAGUCAGACACGACUGAAGCGACUUAGCAGCAGCAGCAGCAGCAGUGGUUAAGAAUCCAUCUUGCAAUGCAGGGGGCCACCGGUUCAGUCCCUGGUCUGGGAAGACCCCACAUGCUGAGGGGCAACUAAGCCAGUGCGUCACAAUUACUGAAGCCUGUGCGCCCUAGCGCUUGGGCUCCACAAGAGAAGCGCCUCAGUAAGAAGCCUGCCCACUGCAACUAGAGAAAGCCUUCACGCAACAGCAAAGACCCAGGGCGGCCAAAAAUAAAAAUAAAUGAAUAAAGCUGAGUCUUAAGAAGUGAAAUAAAGAAAUAAAAAUAUUUGGGAAAAUACUUUCAGUGUAUAUCUUAAGUGACUCUUUCCUUGAAUAUGUAAAUAGUUCUCAUAAACCUGUAAGAAAAAGUUACAUAUGUUGAAUUACUUUCUGGGCCCAAGAUGGCCCACUGUUGCCUGGGAUGUCGCUGAUUAACAAACUCCAACCCGGGUAACUUUUGUGUCCUUGUAAAUGCUCCACUUGACCUGAAAUGCAGUCUAUCCAGUCAGCCAAACAGCGAGCCAACUCUGGGCUCUAUACUCGUUUCCUUGUUCUUUCUCACCCCAAGCAGGCAAGCAGACUCUGCAGCCUGGGUCAAUCAGAUAUUUUCUCUUUGCUCUUCCUUAUUCCUUGUUCUUUACCCGGUAAAGCUUCCUGCCUUCUGUCCCAUUUUGCACUUCUUUGAAUGGAGACUUUCUGCUUCAUGAAGUGUUAAAUAAAGCUUGUUUGUAUCAACUGAA
ensembl:lncRNA